GAGAGAGAGAGAGAGGGUGGAUGUUCUUUCGUAGUGGAGAGGGAAAUAAGAGGAUACGAAAAGGGGCUGCGAGAGGUAGCAAGCCAGCUGCUAAGCGCAGAGCGCGUUGAUUCGUCUCGAAAGAGACUAAAUAUAAACAGAAGAAGAGGAGGAGGAGGUGGAGGUGGAAGAGGUGAAAGAAGAAGAAAAAAAAGAAGAAGAA